rnacentral:rRNA from 1 species
AUUGAACGCUGGCGGCAGGCCUAACACAUGCAAGUCGAACGAGUAGCGGACGGGUGAGGAAUGGCUGGGAAAAUGCCCGAAGGAUGGGGAUAACUACGGGAAACGGUAUCUAAUACCGCAUACAAUCCGAUGUGCCGAGAUGGGGGUAGCUUGUAGGUGAGGUAACGGCUCACCUAGUGGACGAUCGCUAGCUGGUCUGAGAGGAUGAUCAGCCACACUGGAACUGAGACACGGUCCAGACUCCUACGGGAGGCAGCAGUGGGGAAUAUUGCACAAUGGGCGCAAGCCUGAUGCAGCCAUGCCGCGUGUAUGAAGAAGGCCUUCGGGUUGUAAAGUACUUUCAUCGGGGAGGCGUUACCCGCAGAAGAAGCACCGGCUAACUCCGUGCCAGCAGCCGCGGUAAUUC